AGCAGCCGCGGUAGUUCCAGCUCCAAUAGCGUAUAUUAAAGUUGUUGCAGUUAAAAAGCUCGUAGUUGAAUUUCGGGAUCAAAGGAUCGGUCAUGCCUUGGUAUGUACUGGUUUUAUUGGUUCUCACCUUCUAAAGAACCAUAAUGUCAUUCAUUUGAUGUUAUGGGGAAUUAGGACUGUUACCUUGAAAAAAUUAGAGUGUUUAAAGCAGGCUUACGCUUGAAUACAUUAGCAUGGAAUAAUGAAAUAGGACAUCAGAUUCUAUUUUGUUGGUUUCUAGGAUCGAUGUAAUGAUUAAUAGGGAUAGUUGGGGGCAUUAGUAUUCAAUUGUCAGAGGUGAAAUUCUUGGAUUUAUUGAAGACUAACUACUGCGAAAGCAUUUGCCAAGGAUGUUUUCAUUAAUCAAGAACGAAAGUUAGGGGAUCGAAGACGAUCAGAUACCGUCGUAGUCUUAACCAUAAACUAUGCCGACUAGGGAUCGGAUGAUGUUAAUUUAUAAUGACUCAUUCCGG
rnacentral:misc_RNA from 1 species